rnacentral:rRNA from 1 species
GGGUUGUGAGGUUAAGCGACUAAGCGUACACGGUGGAUGCCCUGGCAGUCAGAGGCGAUGAAGGACGUGCUAAUCUGCGAUAAGCGCCGGUAAGGUGAUAUGAACCGUUAUAACCGGCGAUUUCCGAAUGGGGAAACCCAGUGUGACUCGUCACACUAUCAUUAACUGAAUCCAUAGGUUAAUGAGGCGAACCGGGGGAACUGAAACAUCUAAGUACCCCGAGGAAAAGAAAUCAACCGAGAUUCCCCCAGUAGCGGCGAGCGAACGGGGAGGAGCCCAGAGCCUGAAUCAGCAUGUGUGUUAGUGGAAGCGUCUGGAAAGGCGCGCGAUACAGGGUGACAGCCCCGUACACAAAAGCGCAUGUGCUGUGAGCUCGAUGAGUAGGGCGGGACACGUGGUAUCCUGUCUGAAUAUGGGGGGACCAUCCUCCAAGGCUAAAUACUCCUGACUGACCGAUAGUGAACCAGUACCGUGAGGGAAAGGCGAAAAGAACCCCGGCGAGGGGAGUGAAAAAGAACCUGAAACCGUGUACGUACAAGCAGUGGGAGCACAGGUUUACCUGUGUGACUGCGUACCUUUUGUAUAAUGGGUCAGCGACUUAUAUUCUGUAGCAAGGUUAACCGAAUAGGGGAGCCGGAGGGAAACCGAGUCUUAAUUGGGCGUUAAGUUGCAGGGUAUAGACCCGAAACCCGGUGAUCUAGCCAUGGGCAGGUUGAAGGUUGGGUAACACUAACUGGAGGACCGAACCGACUAAUGUUGAAAAAUUAGCGGAUGACCUGUGGCUGGGGGUGAAAGGCCAAUCAAACCGGGAGAUAGCUGGUUCUCCCCGAAAGCUAUUUAGGUAGCGCCUCGUGAACUCAUCUCCGGGGGUAGAGCACUGUUUCGGCUAGGGGGCCAUCCCGGCUUACCAACCCGAUGCAAACUGCGAAUACCGGAGAAUGUUAUUACGGGAGACACACGGCGGGUGCUAACGUCCGUCGUGAAGAGGGAAACAACCCAGACCGCCAGCUAAGGUCCCAAAGUCAUGGUUAAGUGGGAAACGAUGUGGGAAGGCCCAGACAGCCAGGAUGUUGGCUUAGAAGCAGCCAUCAUUUAAAGAAAGCGUAAUAGCUCACUGGUCGAGUCGGCCUGCGCGGAAGAUGUAACGGGGCUAAACCAUGCACCGAAGCUGCGGCAGCGACGCUUAUGCGUUGUUGGGUAGGGGAGCGUUCUGUAAGCCUGUGAAGGUGGCCUGUGAGGGUUGCUGGAGGUAUCAGAAGUGCGAAUGCUGACAUAAGUAACGAUAAAGCGGGUGAAAAGCCCGCUCGCCGGAAGACCAAGGGUUCCUGUCCAACGUUAAUCGGGGCAGGGUGAGUCGACCCCUAAGGCGAGGCCGAAAGGCGUAGUCGAUGGGAAACGGGUUAAUAUUCCCGUACUUGGUGUUACUGCGAAGGGGGGACGGAGAAGGCUAUGUUGGCCGGGCGACGGUUGUCCCGGUUUAAGCGUGUAGGUGUGUGUUCCAGGUAAAUCCGGUUCACUUUAACACUGAGGCGUGACGACGAGGCACUACGGUGCUGAAGCAACAAAUGCCCUGCUUCCAGGAAAAGCCUCUAAGCAUCAGGUAACAUCAAAUCGUACCCCAAACCGACACAGGUGGUCAGGUAGAGAAUACCAAGGCGCUUGAGAGAACUCGGGUGAAGGAACUAGGCAAAAUGGUGCCGUAACUUCGGGAGAAGGCACGCUGACACGUAGGUGAAGUGAUUUACUCACGGAGCUGAAGUCAGUCGAAGAUACCAGCUGGCUGCAACUGUUUAUUAAAAACACAGCACUGUGCAAACACGAAAGUGGACGUAUACGGUGUGACGCCUGCCCGGUGCCGGAAGGUUAAUUGAUGGGGUCAGCGCAAGCGAAGCUCCUGAUCGAAGCCCCGGUAAACGGCGGCCGUAACUAUAACGGUCCUAAGGUAGCGAAAUUCCUUGUCGGGUAAGUUCCGACCUGCACGAAUGGCGUAAUGAUGGCCAGGCUGUCUCCACCCGAGACUCAGUGAAAUUGAACUCGCUGUGAAGAUGCAGUGUACCCGCGGCAAGACGGAAAGACCCCGUGAACCUUUACUAUAGCUUGACACUGAACAUUGAGCCUUGAUGUGUAGGAUAGGUGGGAGGCUUUGAAGUGUGGACGCCAGUCUGCAUGGAGCCGACCUUGAAAUACCACCCUUUAAUGUUUGAUGUUCUAACGUGGACCCGUAAUCCGGGUUGCGGACAGUGUCUGGUGGGUAGUUUGACUGGGGCGGUCUCCUCCUAAAGAGUAACGGAGGAGCACGAAGGUUGGCUAAUCCUGGUCGGACAUCAGGAGGUUAGUGCAAUGGCAUAAGCCAGCUUGACUGCGAGCGUGACGGCGCGAGCAGGUGCGAAAGCAGGUCAUAGUGAUCCGGUGGUUCUGAAUGGAAGGGCCAUCGCUCAACGGAUAAAAGGUACUCCGGGGAUAACAGGCUGAUACCGCCCAAGAGUUCAUAUCGACGGCGGUGUUUGGCACCUCGAUGUCGGCUCAUCACAUCCUGGGGCUGAAGUAGGUCCCAAGGGUAUGGCUGUUCGCCAUUUAAAGUGGUACGCGAGCUGGGUUUAGAACGUCGUGAGACAGUUCGGUCCCUAUCUGCCGUGGGCGCUGGAGAACUGAGGGGGGCUGCUCCUAGUACGAGAGGACCGGAGUGGACGCAUCACUGGUGUUCGGGUUGUCAUGCCAAUGGCACUGCCCGGUAGCUAAAUGCGGAAGAGAUAAGUGCUGAAAGCAUCUAAGCACGAAACUUGCCCCGAGAUGAGUUCUCCCUGAGACUUAGAGUCUCCUGAAGGAACGUUGAAGACGACGACGUUGAUAGGCCGGGUGUGUAAGCGCAGCGAUGCGUUGAGCUAACCGGUACUAAUGAACCGUGAGGCUUAACCUUACAACGCCGAAG